UUGAGAAUUUGAUCCUGGUUCAGGAUGAAUGCUGGCAGUGUACCUUAAGCAUGCAAGUCGAACGGAUGAGGCCGCAAGGCCAAAUCAGUGGCAGACGGGUGAGGAUUGACAGGAACCUACCUUUUGUUGGGGAAUAGCUCGCCGAAAGGCGAGAUAAUACCGCAUAAGAUCGCAAGAUGAAAGGCCUUAACCGGCCGACGAUAGAUGGGCCUGUUUGCUAUCAGCUAGUUGGUGAGGUAAUGGCUCACCAAGGCUAUGACGGCUAGGGGACGUGAGAGCGUGGUCCCCCACAAUGUUACUUAGACACGGAACAUACACCUACGGGUGGCAGCAACUGGGAAUUUUGCACAAUGGACGAAAGUCUGAUGCAGUGACACUGCGUGUAGGAUGAAGGCCCUCGGGUCGUAAACUACUGUGAUAGGGGAAAAAAUUUUGAUGGUACCCUAUUAGAAAGUACUUGCUAACUACGUGCCAGAAGCCUCGGUAAUACGUAGAGUACAAGCAUUAUCCGGAUUUAUUGGGCGUAAAGAGUAUCGUAGGCGGUCUAUUAAGUAACGGGUUAAAGCCCGGGGCUCAACCCCGGAGAUGUCCGUUAAACUGGUAGACUUGUGGAUGUUCGGGGUUACUAGAAUUCUUGGUGGAAGAGUGAAAUCUGUUGAUAUCAAGAAGAAUACCAAAAGCGAAGGCAGGUAACUAGGACAUUCCAGACGCUGAUGAACGAAAGCUAGGGGAGCGAAAGGGAUUUUGACUAGUCCCAUCACGCAGUAAUGCGUGAUUAAAGAAUCGGCUAUAUCGGUGAAAGUCCUUGCGGUUUCGGUUUACUUUCGGGUAUACUGAAUAAGUGAGGAAAACACCGAGGGAAGUUUUUAACUAUAAGAAGAAUGAAUUUUGUUUAACUAAAACUCAAAGGAGCGUUUUAAUUGGAACAAUGUUAGGUGAUAGUGGGUUGAGAUUUCGGGGAAUAAAUUGUCGUUUGCAUAUCAAGCAUAGUCUUAAACAGCUAAGUUUGGUGAAUUACAAAUGGCGUAUUUUUGAACCUAUUAUUUCAAUGAAAGUAAGAUGUUUCAGUCAGAAAGUCGGCAUGAAAGACUACAACUUUGCCGAGUUUGUGACUUUAACUCAUCCUAUUUUUACCUAUUAUUACCAGUUGUUUUAUAAAAACCACAAGAAAGUUGUUGUCGAUGAGAUGGCAACUGCAAUUGAUCCUUUGGUACUGGCUGUUUGGAUUAUGGAUGAUGGAUCUGCAGAAUAUGCUGGUUUAUCAAUCCAAACCCAUAGUUUUUCUGAAGUGGAGGUAAGUUUACUUAUCAAAGCUAUUAAGAAAAAUAUUGGGAUUCAGGCAUCGAAGCGAAUUAAUAAAGGAAAAUAUAUUAUUUAUUUCCCCUUUAGAACCUUGCGUGAUUUAAAAGCCAAGUUGGGUAAGUAUAUCUUGCCUGAGUUUGAAUAUAAAUUUAUUCCAUAUAGGGAAAAACCCCGUAGAGACUGUACGCCGGACUCCGAUGAAAAUCGGAGCAUGAUACAGUCCGAUCUGUGCAGUAAUGUACAGAGUUAACCAGAAAUGAUUAACCGCCUUGAUGAAAAUCGAGGUUAGUAUUCCACUUUGAUGGAAGAAGUAACAGUUAUGUAGAGACCCCUGUAGUCCUAGCCGUAAACUAUGAACACUAGCUAUUUCCCGUAAGGGGAGUGGCGUAAGCUAACGCGUUAAGUGUUCCGCCUGGGGAGUACGACCGCAAGGUUAAAACUCAAAGGAAUUGACGGGGAAACGCACAAUCAGCGUGCCAUGUGGUUUAAUUGGAUACGAAACCUUGAACCUUACCUAGAUUUGACAUGUAACUGCAAAUCCCUGGAAACAGGGACUCCUUCGAGGGUGUUACACAGCUGCUGCAUGGUUGUCGUCAGUUCGUGUCGUGAGCUAUCGCGACCUCUCGCAGUAAUGCGGGAUGAGAAAUUCGACUCAUAUCGGUGAAGCCCUGUUGACUUUCGGUUUAACUUCGGGUUAAAUGAAAUCAAAUGGGUAAUACCGAGGGAAGUCAGACUGACAUUCGGCAAAUUCUAAUACGAAAGAAUAUUCACAUAUUCCUUUCGCAUGAUGAUUUAUGCCAGAAUGUAUGAAAUAUAAAGGUCUUGACCCCGUAACGACUAGAUUCCUGUUUAGACAGGAUGAAGAUGGGUAGAGUAAUCUAUUUCCAUAACACGUCGACCCCUAACGCGAAAGCGAAGGGUGAAGGUAUAGUCUACGUUUGAAGUAAUGUUCAAAUAUUUUUGGAGGCGUCGGCUUAAGUGCCGUAACGAACGCAACCCCUGUGCUAUGUUAAAUAUCCAUAGCAGACUGCCUUGGAUUUUUCCAAGGAGGAAGGAGGGGAUGACGUCAAAUCAGCAUGGCGCUUAUAUCUAGGGCUACACACAUGGCGUAAUGGGUGGGACAACGGGAUGCCAAGGCGCGAGCCGGAGCUAAUCCUUAUAAACCCAUCCUCAGUUUGGAUUGCAGGCUGCAAUUCGCCUGCAUGAAAGGGAGUUGAUAGUAAUCGCGGAUCAGCAACACCGCGGUGAAUACGUUCUCGUUUCUUGUACAAAUAAUAUGCGCCUUCCGCUAAUUUUUUCUAGGAGGUGAAAAUCCUCCGGCAAUGUAAGUAUUGCGAAGCGAAAUAACAAGCAUUAAUCGGUGACGAUAAUGCUGAAGGGUUAAAGUAGCAGUUUUCAGCUUGAAGUUGAGACGGUUUUGUGUAAUGUCGAUCCUACGUACAGAUGGAGAAGACACUUACAAACAAAGUUACACAAAAUAUUUGGGCUCAUGAUGAAAACAAAAUGAAAUUAUUAGUACGAAGGGAGAUCUAGUCUUGACUUUCGGUUAAACUUCGUGUUUACUGAAAGUAGAUAGAGUGGGUAACUGCCUAUCGAUUAGAGAUUAGAAGUCUGCAGAGGUCGUAGUACCCCGCUUUAUAAGUGGGGGAAGGACCGAACCUGAUUUAUGAAGUUAUCUGGUGAUUAUAUUGCUGGUUUCAUCAAGAUCAGGCAUUCGCCAGGGUGCGGGAAAUCCGCGUGCUCGGCGAGAGGGAAGUUUGUAGAGUGAUUUACAUAGUUAUCCCAGAACACUGCCCGUCAAGUCAACAAAGUCAGUAGUGCCCGAAGUAGGUACCCGCAACCGCAAGGAUCGGGCCUCCUAAGGUAAGACUGGCGAUGGGGGCUAAGUCGUUUGUGCAUACUGCACGUUGCGACUAUAGAGAGUAAUUUCUAUUUAAAAAUCUUGCUGUAUCGGUGAAGCCUAACUAUUCGGUAUAUCUUUUCGAUAUAUUGGAUAUAUGGUAAUACCGAGGGAACCUUUUUCCGAAACAUCGGAAUUUGGACUCCGUAGAGACUACACGCGAGCACCUUUUCACAUUAGGAAAAGGUUGAAGAUAUAGUCCAUGCCCGUAGAAAUACGCGGAAUUAACAUGAACAAGGUAUCCGUACUGGAAGGUGCGGAUGGAUCACCUCCUU
rnacentral:rRNA from 1 species